GUCAAGUCAGCAUGGCCCUUACGCCUGGGGCUUCACACAUGCUACAAUGGCCGGUACAAAGGGCUCCGAUACCGCGAGGUGGAGGCAAUCCCAAAAAGCCGGUCUCAGUUCGGAUUGCAGGCUGCAACUCGCCUGCAUGAAGUUGGAAUCGCUAGUAACGGCCGGUCAGCUAAACGGCCGUGAAUACGUUCCCGGGCCUU
rnacentral:rRNA from 1 species